rnacentral:lncRNA from 1 species
GCUGACAAAAAUAAACGUCUCUCUCGUUGCUAGUCAGUCUCAACUCUCACGUUAAUAUUGACAUAUUGGGAGAAAAACAAGACGACACAAAUAGAAGAGGGGGAGGAUUAGAGCAUGAUUAUCCCUAAGAGACAUUUAGAAAUUUUUAAUAAUUUUUUAAUAUUUUUAAUGGGACCACUUUUCCCACGCCAAUCUUCUUCUUCUCCACCUCCAAAAACUUUCUCCUUGUAACCAUUCCUAUCCAACACAUCAUCAUCUCUCCUCUCAAAACCAUGUGAAUUCUCAUAAACUUUUUCCUUGUAUGCGUAAGGGAGAGCUUCAUCGGUGAUGUCGUAAGGGAGACCUCCGACGUAGACGGAGUUAUUGUUGUCCAUCGCGGUCUGCGCAAACACUGCCACAGAGGCAAAGAAGAAGAAGAGAUCUUCUCUGUCGAGGUUGAUUUUCCCUGAAUUUGGUUUGAGAAGAGAUUCUGUGUGAAAGGAUUUUCCCUGAAUUUGGUUUGAGAAGAGAUUCUGUGUGAAAGGGAGAGAGAAAGACGAAAAGGCGAAGUUAGAGUUGGUUCUUCCGUAAGCUUUCUAGACACCCAC